UUUAAUCCCCGAAUUUGACUGGUGCAGGCCCUUCUAAUGCACUUCCUAAAAACUGAAGUAUAAUAAUACAUACAGGAAAGUGCUAGUGUGCCCUCGCGUUUCCACAGACAGCACGCCCUGUACACAGACACCAGCGGCCCUCCGGGACCUGCGCAGGUGGCGUCGCCCGGCGUUGUCUCCGGAGUCGAUUCGGGCCGGGGCACCUCCCCGGGCGACCAGGCCCCUUCUUGAUCAUCGCUGGUACGGAUGAGAGCGGCAGUGGGCAUUUGGAAAGCACCUGGGGCCGCGCCCGGGCGCAGUGCCCCCAUGUGGCCUCCCACCCCGGGCGGGCAGGACGAUUCCUGCCCAUCUGGAAGACCAGGAACCUGCGCGUUCACAGGGUUCGGAAGCCCGGGCUGCGCCUUCCCGCGGGGCCGGCUGCCGGGCUGGGGGCUCUUCCCGCCUCUGCAUGCACAGAGCCCGCGGUGCACGAACCUGCUCCCCGCCAGCCCCGCGGACUGGCAGGGCCGCUCUGGAGUCACCCGCGCCCGCUCCGCAGUGCGCAAACUCACUUCGCAGCGGGCUCUCCCGGGGCCAGCCCUUCCCUCCUGGGCGGGCAUUUUCACCUCCAGGUACAAGGGGGUGGUCCCCAGAGGAGGACUCAGGGGCUUAAGGAGAAGCUGAGGCCCGGUCCUCUGGCCUCAACGACUGCACAUUCUCGCCGCCUGCUUCACUUCUUAGAGCCUUGGAGGGCUCCAUAUGGAUUUGUGUGCCCAAGAGGCCGGAUCCCUUGGGCCAGGUGCCCUGGAGCAUGGAGUGGUGACAGUCACAGGUUAGCAAACCCAGUUCGGAUGAAGAAGCGCAUCUUUAUCUCCGUCCACCUGGCCGCCUGGGCCGGAAUCCCGAGCCCGUGACACGCUGCUCUCCUUCCACCCCACCUCAGCUCUCAGAUCGUCCACUUCUCUCCCUCCCCACCCCAGCCCUACCUCCCACCUGGGUCUUUUCUAAACCUCCAAACAGAGAAACUCCUAAAAAUCCAGCUCUGAUCUGUCACUCCCCAGUUUAAAACUCAGAACCAGCUUCCCACUGCCCUCAAUUCCCUAAUUCCCACUGCUCAAUUCGGCUAAAGUGCUUACCAGACCCCGCCUCCUCUUCCAACCUAGCACCGGCUCCCAAACUGCAGUCCUGGUUCCAGCCCCAAAACAAAAAUAUUUCCAGCCCUUCAGCCCUCCAGGCAAAGCAAGAUAAGGGGCGAGACCCCAGAACCCUCAGAACUCAAACCAAGUUCCCAGCUUCCACUUCCAGGUGAAUUGGUCUCACCACCUCACCCCACCCCCAGGAGAUAGAACCUUCUAGUAAAAAUGAGAAAAUCCGGCCGGGCGCGGCGGCUCACGCCUGUAAUCCCAGCACUUUGGGAGGCUGAGGCGAGUGGAUCACCUGAGGUCGGGAUCACCUGAGGCUGAGGCUGAGGCAAGGAGAAUCGCUGGAACCCAGGAAAGAGGUUGCAGUGAGCCGAGAUCGCACCAUUGCACUCCAGCCUGGGCAACAAGAGCAAAACUCCGUCUCAAAAAAAUAAAAAAGAUGUUCAGAG
rnacentral:lncRNA from 1 species